rnacentral:rRNA from 1 species
AGAAUCAACGCUGGCGGCGUGCCUAACACAUGCAAGUCGCACGAGAAAGGGUAGCAAUACCUGAGUACAGUGGCGCACGGGUGAGUAACACGUGAAUUAUCUACCUCCGAGUGGGGAAUAACUGAGAGAAAUCUUAGCUAAUACCGCAUAACACUUACGAGUCAAAGCAGCAAUGCGCUUGGAGAGGAGUUCGCGGCAGAUUAGUUAGUUGGCGGGGUAAUGGCCCACCAAGACGAUGAUCUGUA